GACGAACGCUGGCGGCGUGCUUAACACAUGCCAGUCGAACGGACAGGCCCUGCUUUUGUGGGGUGCUCGAGUGGCGAACGGGUGAGUAACACGUGAGUAACCUGCCCUUGACUUUGGGAUAACUUCAGGAAACUGGGGCUAAUACCGGAUAGGAGCUCCUGCUGCAUGGUGGGGGUUGGAAAGUUUCGGCGGUUGGGGAUGGACUCGCGGCUUGUCAGCUUGUUGGUGGGGUAGUGGCUUACCAAGGCUUUGACGGGUAGCCGGCCUGAGAGGGUGACCGGCCACAUUGGGACUGAGAUACGGCCCAGACUCGUACGGGAGGCAGCAGUGGGGGAUAUUGCACAGUGGGCGGAAGCCUGAUGCAGCAACGCCGCGUGCGGGAUGACGGCCUUCGGGUUGUAAACCGCUUUCGCCUGUGACGAAGCGUGAGUGACGGUAAUGGGUAAAGAAGCACCGGCUAACUACGUG
rnacentral:rRNA from 1 species